UACAGAGGCCCCAAGUGUUGUUCGGAAUUAUUGGGCGUAAAGGGUGAGCAGGCGGGGGGGGAAGUCAAGCCACAAAUCCAAGCGCUCAACGCUUUGGCGGAGGCUCGAUACUCCUCCCCUAGGGCACUAAAGAGGGCACGUGAAUUCACAGUGUAGCAGUGAAAUGCGUAGAUAUUGUGAGGAACACCAACGGCGAAAGCAGGUGCCUGGUUAGUUGCCGACGCUCAGUCACGAAGGCCAGGGUAGCAAACGGG
rnacentral:rRNA from 1 species